rnacentral:rRNA from 1 species
UACAGAGGGUGCGAGCGUUAAUCGGAAUUACUGGGCGUAAAGCGUGCGUAGACGGUUGCGUAAGUCAGAUGUGAAAGCCCCGGGCUCAACCUGGGAAUUGCAUUUGAGACUGCGUAGCUAGGGUGCGGAAGAGGGAAGCGGGAUUUCCGGUGUAGCGGUGAAAUGCGUAGAUAUCGGAAGGAACACCAGUGGCGAAAGCGGCUUCCUGGUCCAGCACCGACGUUCAGGCACGAAAGCGUGGGGAGCAAACAGG